AGAGUUUGAUCCUGGCUCAGGACGAACGCUGGCGGCGUGCCUAAUACAUGCAAGUAGAACGCUGAAGAGAGGAGCUUGCUCUUCUUGGAUGAGUUGCGAACGGGUGAGUAACGCGUAGGUAACCUGCCUUGUAGCGGGGGAUAACUAUUGGAAACGAUAGCUAAUACCGCAUAACAAUGGAUGACACAUGUCAUUUAUUUGAAAGGGGCAAUUGCUCCACUACAAGAUGGACCUGCGUUGUAUUAGCUAGUAGGUGAGGUAAUGGCUCACCUAGGCGACGAUACAUAGCCGACCUGAGAGGGUGAUCGGCCACACUGGGACUGAGACACGGCCCAGACUCCUACGGGAGGCAGCAGUAGGGAAUCUUCGGCAAUGGGGGCAACCCUGACCGAGCAACGCCGCGUGAGUGAAGAAGGUUUUCGGAUCGUAAAGCUCUGUUGUAAGUCAAGAACGGGUGUGAGAGUGGAAAGUUCACACUGUGACGGUAGCUUACCAGAAAGGGACGGCUAACUACGUGCCAGCAGCCGCGGUAAUACGUAGGUCCCGAGCGUUGUCCGAAUUUAUUGGGCGUAAAGCGAGCGCAGGCGGUUUGAUAAGUCUGAAGUUAAAGGCUGUGGCUCAACCAUAGUUCGCUUUGGAAACUGUCAAACUUGAGUGCAGAAGGGGAGAGUGGAAUUCCAUGUGUAGCGGUGAAAUGCGUAGAUAUAUGGAGGAACACCGGUGGCGAAAGCGGCUCUCUGGUCUGUAACUGACGCUGAGGCUCGAAAGCGUGGGGAGCGAACAGGAUUAGAUACCCUGGUAGUCCACGCCGUAAACGAUGAGUGCUAGGUGUUGGAUCCUUUCCGGGAUUCAGUGCCGCAGCUAACGCAUUAAGCACUCCGCCUGGGGAGUACGACCGCAAGGUUGAAACUCAAAGGAAUUGACGGGGGCCCGCACAAGCGGUGGAGCAUGUGGUUUAAUUCGAAGCAACGCGAAGAACCUUACCAGGUCUUGACAUCCCGAUGCUAUUUCUAGAGAUAGAAAGUUACUUCGGUACAUCGGUGACAGGUGGUGCUUGGUUGUCGUCAGCUCGUGUCGUGAGAUGUUGGGUUAAGUCCCGCAACGAGCGCAACCCCUAUUGUUAGUUGCCAUCAUUCAGUCGGGCACUCUAGCGAGACUGCCGGUAAUAAACCGGAGGAAGGUGGGGAUGACGUCAAAUCAUCAUGCCCCUUAUGACCUGGGCUACACACGUGCUACAAUGGUUGGUACAACGAGUUGCGAGUCGGUGACGGCGAGCUAAUCUCUUAAAGCCAAUCUCAGUUCGGAUUGUAGGCUGCAACUCGCCUACAUGAAGUCGGAAUCGCUAGUAAUCGCGGAUCAGCACGCCGCGGUGAAUACGUUCCCGGGCCUUGUACACACCGCCCGUCACACCACGAGAGUUUGUAACACCCGAAGUCGGUGAGGUAACCUUUUGGAGCCAGCCGCCUAAGGUGGGACAGAUGAUUGGGGUGAAGUCGUAACAAGGUA
rnacentral:rRNA from 1 species